rnacentral:rRNA from 1 species
AACGAACGCUGGCGGCAGGCCUAACACAUGCAAGUCGAACGCUCCGCAAGGGAGUGGCGCACGGGUGAGUAACACGUGGGAACCUACCUUCUGGUACGGAACAACCAAGGGAAACUUUGGCUAAGACCGUAUACGACCUCCGGGUGAAAGAUUGAUCGCCGGAAGAGGGGCCCGCGUCCGAUUAGGUAUUGGUGAGGUAACGGCUCACCAAGCCUUCGAUCGGUAGCUGGUCUGAGAGGGAUGACCAGCUACACUGGGACUGAGACACGGCCCAGACUCCCUACGGGAGGCAGGCAGUGGGGGAAUAUUGGACAAUGGGCGCAAGCCUGAUCCAGCCAUGCCGCGUGAGUGAUGAA